rnacentral:rRNA from 1 species
GGGUCAGGAGGUUGGUCGUGCCACCGGUACGUACUGGUCUCACUGAUUCCUCCUUCCUGAAGAACCGUAAUGCCAUUAAUUUGGUGUUGCGGGGAGACAGGACUGUUACUUUGAAAAAAUUAGAGUGUUUAAAGCAAGCUAACGCUUGAAUACAUUAGCAUGGAAUAAUGAAAUAGGACGAUCGAUCCUAUUUUGUUGGUUUCUAGGAUUGACGUA